rnacentral:rRNA from 1 species
GACGAACGCUGGCGGCGUGCUUAACACAUGCAAGUCGAACGGAAAGGCCCUGCUUUUGUGGGGUGCUCGAGUGGCGAACGGGUGAGUAACACGUGAGUAACCUGCCCUUGACUUUGGGAUAACUUCAGGAAACUGGGGCUAAUACCGGAUAGGAGCUCCUGCUGCAUGGUGGGGGUUGGAAAGUUUCGGCGGUUGGGGAUGGACUCGCGGCUUAUCGGCUUGUUGGUGGGGUAGUGGCUUACCAAGGCUUUGACGGGUAGCCGGCCUGAGAGGGUGACCGGCCACAUUGGGACUGAGGGACGGCCCAGACUCCUACGGGAGGCAGCAGUGGGGAAUAUUGCACAAUGGGCGGAAGCCUGAUGCAGCAACGCCGCGUGCGGGAUGACGGCCUUCGGGUUGUAAACCGCUUUCGCCUGUGACGAAGCGUGAGUGACGGUAAUGGGUAAAGAAGCACCGGCUAACUACGUG